AUAGAGAAUUGAGGGGGACUUUAGGGAAAAAAGGAAAAGUAUACGCAGAAACAGAAGGAAUCCUGACAGAAAAUGAUGUGAAUGAUUCAGAAUUUACAGAAGAGGGACUUACAAUGUAGGGGUCCAUAUAGCAGAUGUCAGUUAUUUUCCGAUAGAAGAUUCAGCACUAGACAAGCGAGCCAGUCUCAUGGCUACAAGUGUUUAUCUAGUUCAGAAGGUAAUACCAAUGUUACCCAAAAUUCUGAGUGAAGAGCUGUGCAGUUUGAAUCCGAACCAAGAUAGACUUACGUUUUCUGUCGUAUGGAAUAUAUCCGAGAAAGGGGAGUGGUGUAAUAGCACAACAGAAGAACAUAACACAGUCAAACGACGAAGAUAAGACAAUAGAUACCACGAUGGAAAUCGAACGAAAUAAAUAAAUUAGGAUGGUAAAAAGAAGAAGAACGAAGAGUUCAACAAUAUACAUGUUACAAUUAAAAAAUCAAAAUUGAACAUCUCUAUCAUCACUAUGGAACGGGAUGAUUAAAGAGGAUCCAGACAGGCAACAGAUGCAAAAAGUUUUAUGAGUUAAAGGUUCACCAAUAAACAUACUACGAUGUCUAAAGACGGUCCAAAACCUGGAGAGGUACAUGUUAUGAUGAGAGAGAUGUUUCUUUUUAAAUUGCGUUUUCAUAUAAUUGUUCUAUAAACAAUGUAGUAAGAUCAUAUCAUUAGUUAUUGACUUUAUUGGUAAUAAAAUUGAUUUUAUUGUCA